AUAAUUUUUUUAAUGUCUAGAGCCUCUCAUUGGUACUGGACGGGCUCCUCUCCCUUCUAAUUCUUCCAAUAGAGAAUUUCAACAAGGGAGAGCUAGAUAUGUGGCUGACUCCAUUGAGCAGGCUCUACUCUUUCCCCGAGAUAUGGAGGAGCUUUGGAAUUUGAAGAAGCAUGAAGUGUUCCUUACUCUGAAGAGAAACUUGGUUGUGGCAGUUCAAGUUUCCUACAUUGUUGAAGAGUGGGUGGACCAUGCCAUUUCCAAAUCCAAGGAAGAGGAGUCAUGCCAAAUUGCCGCCACUAAGGCUUAGACUGAUGUUGAGAAGAAAUACAAGGACUCCCUCUUUAAGUUAGCUGAAGUCGAGAGGGAAAGAAAAAGCGUUGAAGCUGCCUUAAGGGGGUGUUAAGAGACGGGCUGAGGAGCAACAUUGUCUACUUCGGAAAGUUGAGGAGGAGUUGGCCAUUGCUAAAGAGAAGAUUAAACUCCAACGGAAAGAACUAGAAGGGAAAGAGGUAGAACUGACCAAGGCUUAACAAGCUGCCUAUGAACUAGGGCAGAAAGAGACUUCAGCCAGCCUUACCCUCCAAAUGAGAGAUUUAGGUCGAGAGUUUUGCCGCCAAGUUUGGGCUAAAGCUCUUAAUGCUGUCGGGGUGGACUCAUCUUCGAAGCUCAAAGAUCCAUCAAAGAUUGUCUACCCUUUUGCUCUUAGGGGCGAAGCCAGCUCGUCCGCCCCAGCGGCAAGCUCUACCGAACCAACUUCUCAAACUCCACCUGAAAAGGAGAGCCACGAUAAAGGCCAUUGGAGAAAGGGGACAAGGCUAGGGAGUAAAAAGAAAAACUCUAGAGGAUAGGAUAGGCCUUUUUAAAUCUUUUACAAUAAGAGCUCCAAUUUUGUAAUUUAGCUUAAUUAGUAGGCUUUUCUACCUCUCUUUUUUGUACUGUUUGUCCCAUGAUUACUGAAUGAUGAAAGUUUUACUUUUAUCUGACU